CAGCAGCCGCGGGAAUACGUAGGGUGCGAGCGUUAAUCGGAAUUACUGGGCGUAAAGCGUGCGCAGGCGGUUCGUUAAGACAGAUGUGAAAUCCCCGGGCUUAACCUGGGAACUGCAUUUGUGACUGGCAAGCUAGAGUCUGGCAGAGGGGGGUGGAAUUCCGCGUGUAGCAGUGAAAUGCGUAGAUAUGCGGAGGAACACCGAUGGCGAAGGCAGCCCCCUGGGCCAACACUGACGCUCAUGCACGAAAGCGUGGGGAGCAAACAGGAUUAGAUACCCGCGUAGUCCCUGUCUCUUAUAC
rnacentral:rRNA from 1 species